GCUGGUUUGCUUCUGCUUUUGGUGUUGCUGUGCCCUGUUUUCUUGCUGCUGCACUUCUGAUUUUGUUCAUGCACUGCUGUUUUGGUGCGGUUUUUGUUGCUGCAGUAUGUUGUUAUUGUUGCUUUGGUGCUCGUUUUGUUGUUUAUCUUUGUUCUUUUGGUUUCUUUAGUCGGUUUGCAGGCUUGUCUGCUUCUGGCUGUAGUUUUUGGUGACUUUUGGGUGUUUGGCUUUAUUGUUUUCUGGUUUUUGUUGUCUGAUCCUAGUUUACGGAACCCUUCCUAGAAGGUGGCUAGGUUUGGGUCUAGAACUGGUCGUGGGGUGACCUGUUAUUUUCAGGUCUUUUGGUGUUCUGGUGGUAGUUAUAACUUAGCUUUUGUAAGUUGUAACUUUCUCUUUUUGGUAAUAAAAUCUUAUUUUCCAAAAAAAAAA